rnacentral:lncRNA from 1 species
GCCCAAUUUACACCGGCUUAAGAGCACCCGAUCAUCCUUCGCAGAGAUAAUCCAGCUGACGCUCUUAAAAUGGUACAAACCCGGUAGUCCGUCGGGCUUCAUCUAAAACAUCCACCUUACAACCAUGUCAUAGACAUGCAUAAAUGAUCUUUGCAUAGAGCUUCAGAUAUUACACACAGACGUUGAAUGUAGAUCAUAAAACUAGAGUAGAGUUAUUACACAUUAUGAACAAACCUUAGUGCAUGCCAGUACUACGGAGUUUCAAACAAAAACCCUACAAUCAUAGGUUUGUUGUCACACUUGUCUUAUAUUACAACGAGUUUUAAAAUAUCCAGAGGUGUAUGGACUUGGCAUACCCUCUAGAUCUUGCAGCUUCUACUCCUGGGGCUCUUCGGACGGCACUGCUAAAGACACAUAUGCACAAACACAGAGUACGAAUGUACUCAACAAGACUUAACCGACUAACCAGAUAUAAAAGAUAGGAUAAAGGAUAUACAUGGCUUGUUGAGUAGACUGGUCUGUUUGUACAAAAUAUUUGGACUCAAAGAAACAUUUUCUUUCUAAAAGGAAACAACAACAUAACUGUGCAGCAUAAACUCUAGAAACUCAUCAAACCAGCAUAAACGACGACUUCUCUCCCCACGCCCUACGAAAGGGCAGCGUACGUCAUCGACACCUAAUAGCAGCAUACGUCGACAACACCUAACAGCGUAGUGUCUGGGGGAGGAUUGCUUUGAGAUUGUUGCUUGACAAGGAGGAUCAUAUCGAACGGAUUGGAGAGGCAGGGUCCCUCACAUUUAUUGGCACACAGUACCCAGCAAUCUUCUUCCAGGGC